rnacentral:tRNA from 1 species
GACGACGCGGCCCGGUGCGACGGGUGCGGGUACUUCUGGGGUGUCUCCCUCGCAGGUUCGAAUCCUGCUGCCGGUCC